CACGUAGUUAGCCGGGGCUUCUUGUCCAGGUACUGUCAUUUUCUUCCCUGCUGACAGGGCUUUACGCACCGGAGUGCUUCUUCACCCACGCGGCAUUGCUGCAUCAGGGUUCCCCCCAUUGUGCAAUAUUCCCCACUGCUGCCUCCCGCAGGAGUCUGGGCCGUGUCUCAGUCCCAAUGUGGCCGUCCACUCUCUCAAGCCGGCUACUGAUCGUUGUCUUGGUAGGCCGUUACCCUGCCAACUAACUAAUCAGACGCGGGCCCAUCCUGUACCACCGUGGUUUUCCCUGCUGUGCCAUGCGGCACAGCAGGCUUAUGCGGUAUUAGCAGCCAUUUCUGGCUGUUGUCCCCCGGUACAGGGCAGGUUGCCCACGCGUUACUCACCCGUCCGCCACUAGGUUUAUAUAUCUUCCCUCCGGAGAGUUCUGUUAUAUAAACCCCGUUGACUUGCAUGUGUUAGGCAUGCCGCCAGCGUUCAUCCUGAGCCAGGAUCAAA
rnacentral:rRNA from 1 species